rnacentral:rRNA from 1 species
AGGGGGUGCUAUAAUGCAGUCGAGCGGACAGAUGGGAGCUUGCUCCCUGAUGUUAGCGGGGACGGGUGAGUAACACGUGGGUAACCUGCCUGUAAGACUGGGAUAACUCCGGGAAACCGGGGCUAAUACCGGAUGGUUGUUUGAACCGCAUGGUUCAAACAUAAAAGGUGCCUUCGGCUACCACUUACAGAUGGACCCGCGGCGCAUUAGCUAGUUGGUGAGGUAACGGCUCACCAAGGCAACGAUGCGUAGCCGACCUGAGAGGGUGAUCGGCCACACUGGGACUGAGACACGGCCCAGACUCCUACGGGAGGCAGCAGUAGGGAAUCUUCCGCAAUGGACGAAAGUCUGACGGAGCAACGCCGCGUGAGUGAUGAAGGUUUUCGGAUCGUAAAGCUUUUUUGUUAGGGAAGAACAAGUACCGUUCGAAUAGGGCGGUACCUUGACGGUACCUAACCAGAAAGCCACGGCUAACUACGUGCCAGCAGCCGCGGUAAUACGUAGGUGGCAAGCGUUGUCCGGAAUUAUUGGGCGUAAAGGGCUCGCAGGCGGUUUCUUAAGUCUGAUGUGAAAGCCCCCGGCUCAACCGGGGAGGGUCAUUGGAAACUGGGGAACUUGAGUGCAGAAGAGGAGAGUGGAAUUCCACGUGUAGCGGUGAAAUGCGUAGAGAUGUGGAGGAACACCAGUGGCGAACGCGACUCUCUGGUCUGUAACUGACGCUGAGGAGCGAAAGCGUGGGGAGCGAACAGGAUUAGAUACCCUGGCUAGUCCACGCCGUAAACGAUGAGUGGCUAAGUGUUAGGGGGUUUGCCGUCCCUUAGUGCUGCAGCUAAACGCAUUUAAGCACCUCCGCCUGGGGGAGUACGGUCGCAAGACUUGAAACUCAAGGGAUUGACCGGGGGGGCCCGCACAGCGGUGGGAGCCAUGGUGGAUUUGAUCCGGAAGGCAAUCGCUGAAGAAAUCCUUUACCGAGGGUUCCUAUG